rnacentral:lncRNA from 1 species
UCAGCGUUCAAUUUCGAUUAUAGACCUUAUUAAGAUCCAAAGGUAUGGGUCAAGCCUACCCCCUAGCGGCGCGUUUCAGUGUGAAGGGGUGCCGUGAACAGCCGCUUUUUAUUUGGCUUGCCGCAUAUGGCAUGGUAAUAGGCUAUUCAACGGUAGCAGGCGACUACCACAUUUUUCGUAAGUUUUCUGUCACGUUGGAUUGCACGAUUAUGCUGUAUUAUGACUAGUGAUACUACUAUCUGUAGUUUAAAGCUCUCUAAAUUUGCUGAGGGUUUAGUCCCAGAGGAGAAGAAGUUGUACUGCGAUUUUUUAAAAGAAUUGGGGUGUGUUGACCCACUUACAAUUCCCCUAUCAGUGUAUAAAAGUGAAAAAAAGUGAAAGAAGUGCUUCCUCCAAUAAAAAAUAAACAUUUAGUUCUAUAUUUAGUUAUUGAACGGAAUGGCAGUGAUGGUGAGAAGUUUGAGGCAUACAAAAAUCUAAACGGUUCUCCCCAAUAUGUAUAUAACACUUUUGCCGAUAAACUUCUUGCCUUUCCACUUCCCAAUGGCAUUGUGAUCAUUCGCAGUCAUAUAACUCACUCACAAUCUCUAGGAAUUAACCCAACAACACCGUGGGCUGCAAUACAUUCUGAUGGAAAAGUUAAAGUUGCAUAUUGUGACUGUGCUGCUGGGCUUGGGAGAGUCUGCAUUCAUGUUAGUGCAUUGCUGCAACUUGCUGUUGCUGAGCAUGAACUCCCCAGUCGUAGAACUGAAACUGCUUGGAAUGCUGAUGAAGAUCAAGUAGCACCAACAUCUAAAGCUUGCAAUAUCGUUUACAUUGCAAAUGUUAGCUGGUUUACCUAGAAUACAUUAUGUCAAAUAAAAGUUA